rnacentral:rRNA from 1 species
AGAUUGAACGCUGGCGGCAGGCCUAACACAUGCAAGUCGAGCGGUAGAGGGGUGCUUGCAUCUCUUGAGAGCGGCGGACGGGUGAGUAAUGCCCAGGAAUCUGCCUAGUGGUGGGGGAUAACGUUCGGAAACGGACGCUAAUACCGCAUACGUCCUACGGGAGAAAGCGGGGGACCUUCGGGCCUCGCGCCAUUAGAUGAGCCUAGGUCGGAUUAGCUAGUUGGUGAGGUAAUGGCUCACCAAGGCGACGACUCCGUAACUGGUCUGAGAGGAUGAUCAGUCACACUGGAACUGAGACACGGUCCAGACCUCCUACGGGAGCAGCAGUGGGGGAAAUAGUUGG